GGGGAUUAGUGGCGAACGGGUGAGUAACACGUGAGUAACCUGCCCUUAACUCUGGGAUAAGCCUGGGAAACUGGGUCUAAUACCGGAUAUGACUGACCAUCGCAUGGUGGUUGGUGGAAAGCUUUUUGUGGUUUUGGAUGGACUCGCGGCCUAUCAGCUUGUUGGUGAGGUAAUGGCUUACCAAGGCGACGACCGGUAGCCGGCCUGAGAGGGUGACCGGCCACACUGGGACUGAGACACGGCCCAGACUCCUACGGGAGGCAGCAGUGGGGAAUAUUGCACAAUGGGCGCAAGCCUGAUGCAGCGACGCCGCGUGAGGGAUGACGGCCUUCGGGUUGUAAACCUCUUUCAGUAGGGAAGAAGCGAAAGUGACGGUACCUGCAGAAGAAGCGCCGGCUAACUACGUGCCAGCAGCCGCGGUAAUACGUAGGGCGCAAGCGUUAUCCGGAAUUAUUGGGCGUAAAGAGCUCGUAGGCGGUUUGUCGCGUCUGCCGUGAAAGUCCGGGGCUCAACUCCGGAUCUGCGGUGGGUACGGGCAGACUAGAGUGAUGUAGGGGAGACUGGAAUUCCUGGUGUAGCGGUGAAAUGCGCAGAUAUCAGGAGGAACACCGAUGGCGAAGGCAGGUCUCUGGGCAUUAACUGACGCUGAGGAGCGAAAGCAUGGGGAGCGAACAGGAUUAGAUACCCUGGUAGUCCAUGCCGUAAACGUUGGGCACUAGGUGUGGGGGACAUUCCACGUUUUCCGCGCCGUAGCUAACGCAUUAAGUGCCCCGCCUGGGGAGUACGGCCGCAAGGCUAAAACUCAAAGGAAUUGACGGGGGCCCGCACAAGCGGCGGAGCAUGCGGAUUAAUUCGAUGCAACGCGAAGAACUUACCAGGCUUGACAUGAACCGGACCGCCGCAGAAAUGUGGUUCCCCUUGGGGCGGUUACAGUGGUGCAUGGUGUCGUCAGCUCGUGUCGUGAGAUGUGGGUUAAGUCCCGCACAA
rnacentral:rRNA from 1 species